rnacentral:lncRNA from 1 species
UUCCCUCUGAGGAGGCUACCAGCCUCUCACAAUCUGCCAUUGUGCCAGCAGCUGUGACUUCAUCGUCCUGAUACCACAGGUGUCAUUGGUGAAGACAAGGACCUUCCUAGUCAUCCCCAGAUUCAGAAAUGUUCCUUUCAGCAGUCCAUUCAAACCCUGGGCCCGGGAUCUUCUUUGUGGCAAGUAUCCUUGGUUUCAGCCUGGGACCUUGCUUCCUCCUUUUUCUCCUUCUCCUGAUGAUGCAUCAAUGCAGAAAGAAAUCAAAAUGCCAAGAAGAAGAAGAAGAUCUGGGAAACGAGAAACUUCUGCAGGAGGAAGAGAAGCCCUAUGUUCAGGUUGCUGAGUUCAGAGAGUCUAGGAUCUCACUGGAGGAGAAAUCCAUGUGCCUGUACUGACAAGCUAUACUACGGUCCAGGCUAGAAGUUCAGAGACUGCCAUAGUGGUACUAGGAUAGGACCAUGACACAUUGUGUUCCCCUUUUACAUAAGUUCUCCAAUAAUAAACACUUUGGUCCUAC